GUUUUGUUAACACAUGGAAAAGUCAUUACAAAUAACGUCUGGUGAGCAUGACUAAAUGAGUGUUUAUAUGAUCUAUCAUUGUGAUCAUAUUUGUUCCAAUUUAAAACUGUAUAUAUGUUAUGAUAAGGUGAGGGAGAGAAUCGGAUUCGGAUAGAGAAUGAGAAGGAGAGAGUCCGCAAUCAGAGGAAAUGUGUAAUAAUAAUUCUUCACGCCUUGUCCCAACCCUUCCCAUCAUUCUGUCUCUCUCCGCAUUUCUCGUUUCUGUAAUCUUUUUUUUUCUUCUUCCAAGUGUAUUGUUUUUAGACUACUUAAAAAAAAAAUAGAUAACGACUCUGCAGAAAUACCCAACACAACUUUUAACAAAACAUGACAAAUCCCAUGUUAUUUUUGAAGUAAAGUAUUCAUACUGGUCUGGUCCAUAUAAAUAAGUUACAAAUACGUACGUUACGUAGCAAAAAAGGGGAGAGAGUCUUAAAAAUAAAAUAAAAAACUGGUCAAGGAGACAAGAGUGAAGCUGUCGGGGUCGAGUCGAAGGAGGUGGAUAAGCACGCGCAGCCGGAGGAAAGAUAUGACCCACACUGAGGCCUGAGCCACCUCUUCCCACUUCAACAACGUUCUCUCUCUCUUAUCUCUAGUCGCUUUCACACCCAAAACAAUGAAGAAACUCAUAGAAAGAGAGAGAGAGAGAAACAAGAGAGGUGUGGUUUGUGUGUUGUGUGUGUGCCAUGGAACGAUGUGUCUUAUUUGUUUUUGCAGCCGUCCUUUCGUUGUCGGAUAUUCGGGUCCGAACUCCGGACCGGUCCUAUCAGAUCAAACCACUGACACCCUUCCCUUAUUCCUUCCCUCUCUUUCUUCUUGUCUUUUUCUUCCUUAAUCCUCUCUGUUUUCUGAUUCCUAUUGAUCCGAAGGAUGUUUUUUUUUUUGUCUUUGAAUGUGCGUGGAAGAGAGCUACUUUCGUCUUUUCUGUUAUGGCUUAAGCCCAACGGUCCAAU